rnacentral:tRNA from 1 species
GAUGUUGUGGCCGAGUGGUAAAGGCGAUUGACUUGAAAUCUAUACCUCUCUGAGGGCGUAGGUUCGGACCCUACCAACUGCG